rnacentral:rRNA from 1 species
CCUACGGGGGGCAGCAGUGGGGAAUAUUGCACAAUGGGGGAAACCCUGAUGCAGCGACGCCGCGUGAGUGAAGAAGUAUUUCGGUAUGUAAAGCUCUAUCAGCAGGGAAGAACAUGACGGUACCUGACUAAGAAGCCCCGGCUAACUACGUGCCAGCAGCCGCGGUAAUACGUAGGGGGCAAGCGUUAUCCGGAUUUACUGGGUGUAAAGGGAGCGUAGACGGCAGAGCAAGUCUGAAGUGAAAGCCCGCGGCCCAACUGCGGGACUGCUUUGGAAACUGCCCGGCUAGAGUGCUGGAGAGGUAAGCGGAAUUCCUAGUGUAGCGGUGAAAUGCGUAGAUAUUAGGAGGAACACCAGUGGCGAAGGCGGCUUACUGGACAGUAACUGACGUUGAGGCUCGAAAGCGUGGGGAGCAAACAGGAUUAGAUACCCCUGUAG